UCCAGCAGCCAUAUCACCCUGCAGUUCACAGCUGGCAGCCCCACUGGAGCUCAGCAGGUGUGAGCCUGGUCAGUACCUGGAUGGGAGACCUGCUGGGAAAAACUAAGAAAGGCUGUUGCUGGAA
rnacentral:rRNA from 1 species